rnacentral:rRNA from 1 species
UCUCCGAGGACGGGAGCUCUGCGCGCCCGCAGCCGCCGCAGCGGAGCGGAGCCCCGACGACCGGAAGCUCACGUGAGCCUCGCGUCCACCGCGAGCCACGCCGCCGCCACUCCGUGGCGCACGUCCGACUUCGACCUCAGAUCAGACGAGACGACCCGCUGAAUUUAAGCAUAUUACUAAGCGGAGGAAAAGAAACUAACCCAGGAUUCCCUCAGUAGCGGCGAGCGAAGAGGGAAGAGCCCAGCGCCGAAUCCCCUCCGGCGGGCGGACGAGGGAAAUGUGGCGGUACGGAAGACCGCUUCCCGGUGUCGCGGGGGUGGCGUACGGAAGACCGCUUGCCCGGUGUCGCGCUGAGUCCUUCUGAUAGAGGCUCAGCCCGUAGACGGGUGAGGCCGGUGUCGGCCCCCGUCGCGCCGGGGCCCGGCUUCUCGGAGGCGGGGUGUUUGGGGAUGCAGCCCAAAGCGGGUUGGUAAACCUCCAUCUAAGGCUAAAUUCCCGGCAAGAGCCGAUAGUCGACAAGACCUUAAGGUAUGUUGGAAAGGAACUUUGAAGAGAGAGUUCAAGAGUGCCGUGAAGCCGUUGAGAGGUAAACCGGGUGGGGUCCGCGCAGUCCGCUCGGGGGAUUCAGCCCGUCGGGCAAGGGUUGGCGGCCGGGCGCCGGUUGGGAUCCACUUGUGGGACCCCCCGCCCGACCCUGACCGGCCCCCGCCGGGUGCAUUCCCCCCCGGCGGGCGUCGCGACCGGCUCCGGCGCGGCCAUGAAGGGCCCGGGGGCGAAGGUGGCCGCGGCCCUGGCUGCCGCGUGCUUUACACGCCCCUCCGCCCGGACUUCGCCGCCCGGGGGCGUGGAACCAAGUGCUCACUGCGCCCUCUCUCCCCCCGCGGGAGGGACGGGGCCCCCCGCCCCCGGCGCGACUGUCGACUGGGGCGUACUGUUCCCAGUGCGCCUCGACCGCGUCGCGCCGCGGCCGGGGAUCGGCCCACGUACAACGGGCGCAAGGGGUUCAGCGGCGAUGUGGUUCCCACCCGACCCGUCUUUUAACACGGACCAAGGAGUCUGACUCGCGCGCGCGUUAGAGGGUGCCGAACGAAACCCCGUGGCGCAAUGAAAGUGAGGGCCGGCGCGGGCCGGCGAGGGGGGUCCCGGGCCGACCUCGGUCCCGGGCGCACCACCGGCCCGUCUCCCCCCCCUCGGGGAGGUGGAGCAUGAGAGCGUGCGAUAGGACCCGAAAGAUGGUGAUUAUGCCUUGGCCAGGGCGAAGCCACAGGGGAAACUCUGGUGGAGGAGGGCGAAGCCAGAGGAAACUCUGGUGGAGGCCCGGAGGGUCCUUGACGUGCAAAUCGGUCCGUCCGACCUGGGUGUAGAGGGGCGAAAGACUAAUCGAACCAGCUACUAGCUGGUUCCCUCCGAAGUUUCCCAGGAUAGCUGGCCGCUCGAAGUCUCGCAGUUUUAUUGGUAAAGCGAAUGAUUAGAGGCCUUGGGGCCGAAACGAUCUCAACCCAAUUCUCAAACUUUAAAUGGGUAAGAAGCCCGGGCUCGCUUGCCUUGGAGCGGGGGUGAAUGCGAGCGCCUAGUGGGCCACUUUUGUAAGCAGAACUGGCGCUGCGGAUGAACCGUGGUAAGCAGAACUGGCGCUGCGGGAUGAACCGAAGAGCGGGUUAGGGCCCGAUGCCGACGCUCAUCAGACCCCAGAAAAGGUGUUGGUUGAUAUAGACAGCAGGAGUGGCCAUGGAGUCGGACCCGCUAAGGAGUGUGUUAACAACACCUGCCGAAUCAACUAGCCCUGAAAAUGGAUGGCGCUGGAGCGCCGGUCACUGCCCUGAAAUGGAUGGCGCGGAGCGUCGGGCGCCCAUACCCGGCCGUCGCCGGCAACGGAGCCGCGAGGGCUAGGCCGCGACGAGUAGAGGGCCGCCGCGGUGCGCACAGAAGCCUGGGGCGCGAGCCCGGGUGGGCCGCCGCGGGUGCAGAUUCUGGGUGGUAGUAGCAAAAAUAUUAAACGAGAACUUUGAAGGGCCGAAGUGGAGAAGGGUUCCAAUGUGAACAGCAGUUGAAAUGGGUCCAGUCGGUCCUAAGGGAUGGCCGAACGGCGGUUCGGAAGUGCGGGGCGAUGGCUCUGUCGCCCCCGGCCGAUCGAAAGGGAGUCGGUCAGACCCCGACCUGGAGUGGCGGAGACAGGGGCCGCGAGGCGGCCAGUGCGGUAACGCAAGCGAACCCGAAAGCCGGCGGGAGCCCCGGGGGGAGUUCUCUUUUUUGUGAAGGGCGCAGGGCGCCCUGGGAUUGGGUUCGCCCCGAGAGAGGGCCCGGUGCCCUGAAGCUUGCGUUCCGGCGGCGUCCGGUGAGCUCUCGCUGGCCCUUAAGCUCUCGCUGGCCCUUGAAAAUCCGGGGAAGGGUGUAUCUCGCGCAGGCCGUACCCAUAUCCGCAGCAGGGUCUUCAAGGUGAACACCUCCGGCAUGUUAGAUCAAGGGAGAUAAGGGAAGUCGGCAAAAAUCGGAUCCGUAACUUCGGGAUAAGGAUUGGCUCUAAGGGCUGGGUCGGUCGGGCUGGGGUGCGAAGGAGGGCUGGGCUGCGCCGCGGCUGGAGGAGCAGUCGCCCCGUCGCCCUCCUCUCUCCGCCGCCGGAGGCGCGGCGACGGCCCGCCCUGUGGGGGGUUUUCCCCGCUCUCCUCCGUCUGGCUCGUCCAGGCGGCGGGGGGCGGGGGGGCUUCUCGCGGGGCGGUGUCCGGCGCCGUGCGGAAGGCGGGUCGUGGGAGGGGGCCGGGUACGGCGGGUGCGGCUGCGACUCUGGACGCGCGCCGGGGCCCUUCUCGCGGAUCUCCCCAGCUGCGGUCCCGCCGGGGGCCCCCCCUCCCGCCGGUGGGGAUCCCCCCCCGCGGGCUGCCUCGGCCCGCCACCUAGCAGCUGACUUAGAACUGGUGCGGACCAGGGGAAUCCGACUGUUUAAUUAAAACAAAGCAUCGCGAGGGCCCGCGGCGGGGGUUGACGCGAUGUGAUUUCUGCCCGUGCUCUGUGAAUGUCAAAGGUGAAGAAAUUCAAAGGAAGCGCGGUAAACGGGCGAAGUAACUAUGACUCUCUUAAGGUAGCCAAAUGCCCGUAACUAUGACUCUCUUAAGGUAGCCAAAUGCCUCUUCAUCAAUUAGUGACGCGCAUGAAUGGAGAAUGAGUUUCCCCUCUGUCCCACCUCCCUCUAGCGAAACCACAGCCAAGGGAAGGGCUGGGCACAAAAUUAAGCGGGGCCAAGGGAACGGGCUUGGCAGAAUCAGCGGGGUAAGAAGACCCUGUUAAGCUUGUCUCGUCCGGGCACUGGGAAGAGACAUGAGAGGUGUAGAAGUAAGGUGGGAGGCCCUCGCGGCCGCCGGUGAAAUACCACUACUCUUAUCGUUUUUUCACUAUACCACUACUCUUAUCGUUUUUUUCACUUACCCGGUGGGGCGGGGAGGCGAGCCCUAGCGGGCCUCUCGCUUCUGGUGUCAAGCCCCCGCUUCCAGGGCCGGGCGUGACCCGCUCCGGGGCAGUGGCAGGUG